GUUAAUGUAGCUUACGUAAAGUGUGGCACUGAAAAUGCUAAGACAGAUUUUAAAAAUAUCUCAUAAACA
rnacentral:tRNA from 2 species